AUCACCCCCACGCCAACCGGCCCCGACCCCGAGGGCGGCGCUAUUUCCAGCCGGGCCGAACGCCGGAGAUGCUCUAAAGGCCCAGGAUCCCAUCUCCCUCCUCCCACCUCCAUCACCAUCCGCCUCCGGCGGCGCCGCCCGCCACCUUCAUAACCCACCACACAAUAGCCCUCCGCGCCAUGCCCCUGCCCCUGCCCGUUCCCACCUCCCGCCUCCUCGCCGCCAUCUCCGCUGCUGCGUCCUCAACUGCAGACCUCCGCCGCCUCUCCCACCUCCUCCUCACCUCCUACACCCCACUCCCCCCGCUCCGCUGCCUCAAUACCCUCCUCAUGGCGCUCGCCCGCCACCGCAUGCUCCCGGACAUGGAGUCCUUCGCAUCCCGCAUGCCCGCGCGCAACCUUCGCACGUACACCACCCUUAUCAAUGCCUACUGCCUCGCCGGCGACCUCCCUGCUGCCAAGCGGCAUCUUGCCUCCCUACUCCGCGCUGGUCUUGCGCCGGACUCUCAUGCGUAUACCUCAUUUGUUCUCGGAUAUUGUCGGGCGGGGCUGCUUUCGCACGCCUGCCGGGUGUUCGUGCUAAUGCCGCUCCGAGGAUGUGCACGCACUGUGUUCACGUACACUGCUCUGCUCCAUGGGCUGUGUGGCGCCGGUAUGGUGCGUGAGGCUGUGGCAGUGUUUGCUGGGAUGCGGGCAGACGGGUGCGCCCCUGACACACAUGUGUAUGCCACGAUGGUGCAUGGACUGUGUGGGGCGGGGCGAACUGGUGAGGCAGAGGUUCUUCUCGCGGAGGCAAUGGCUGAGGGUUUUGAGCCAAAUGUGGUCGUCUACAAUGCCCUGAUUGAUGGCUACUGCAAUGCCGGGGACCUGGAGCUCGCGGUUAAGGUUUAUGAGAGGAUGGAUCUUAAGGGCUGCUCAGCAAACGUGCGAACGUAUACUGAGCUGAUAUGUGGGUUCUGCAAAUCUGGCAAGGUGGACAGAGCCAUGGUGCUGUUCAGCCGGAUGGUCGAGGCUGGUUUGGCUCCAAAUGUGGUGACAUACACGGCCUUAAUUCAGGGGCAGUGCAAUAAUGGGCAGUUGGAAUGUGCUUUUAGGAUGCUCCAAUCGAUGGAGGCCACUGGGCUGGUUCCUAGUGAGUGGACUUGCUCGAUGUUGAUUGAUGCUCUGUGCAAACGUGGAAGGGUUGGGGAAGCUCAGUUGUUUCUUGGGUCUCUUAUACAGAAAGGAUACAGGGUGAAUGAGAUUGUCUACACCAGCUUGAUUGAUGGACUGUGCAAGGCAGGAAAGGUUGAUGCUGCUGACAAGUUAAUGCAGAAAUUGGUUUCACAGGGGUUUGUGCUAGACGCUCACACAUACAGUUCACUAAUUGAUGGAUUAUGCAGGCAAAAGGAGUUGUCACAAGCGAUGUUGGUGUUGGAUGAUAUGAUGGUGAAAGGAGUACAACCCAAUGCUUUCACGUAUACCAUUCUAAUUGAUGAGCUUGUUAGGGAGCUAGGACCUGAAGGUUCAAAGAAGAUACUUAAUAAGAUGAUUGCGGCAGGAAUUAAGCCUGAUGUUUUCACCUACACAAUAUUUGUUCGCUCCUACUGUCAUGAGGGAAGGAUGGAAGGUGCUGAACAUAUGAUGGUUGAAAUGGUUGAUCAGGGCAUUUCCCCUAAUUUAGUGACAUAUAACACUUUGAUUAGUGGGUAUGCAAAUUUAGGACUAGCCAGUCAAGCAUUUUCAGUUUUUAAGCACAUGGUUGCUAGUAGGUGCAAGCCAAAUGAGGAGUCCUACACGGCCCUGCUUAGAUUAUUGGUAAAGAAAAAAUCCUCUAAUAAUAUCCUUGCCAGCUCUGUUGAUAUAUGGAAAAUAGCAGAAAUGGAAUAUCUCCAGGAGCUUCUGGAGGAGGUGGUUAAGCUUCAGUUGCUUUCAGACAUUGAAAUUUACAAUUGUUUUCUUAGGUCUUUAUGCCGAGUUGAUAGAUUGGAGGAAACCAAAAUUUUGCUCGGUGAGAUGCAGAGUGCUAACUUGACCCCUGGCGAGGAUGUAUAUACUUCAAUUAUAGGGUGUUGUUGCAGACUAAAAAUGCCAACAGAAGCUUUGACAUUUCUUGAUUCAAUGAUCAAAAGUGGUUAUUUACCACGUAUAGAAUCGUAUAGGCAUAUUAUUUGUUCUCUUUGUGAGGAGGGAAGUAUUAAGACUGCUAAAAAGGUUUUGGGUGACAUGUUAUUGGAGGAAUACAACUAUGAUGAGAUAGUUUGGAAGAUUCUGGUUGAUGGUCUAUUGCGGAAGGGCAAUGCUGCCGAGUGUUUGAUUCUGCUCUCAGUGAUGGAGGAGCAAGAUUAUCGCCCUGGUGAUGCAUUGUAUGCCAAGCUUACAGUCACUUGCUCUUUCAGCGGGCUGUUUCAUCCCUUGGAGGAAGCACACCCUUUCAGAAUACCACACAAACUCCACAUAGAAUAGCUCUCAGCCAAUGGCUAGACUUGUAUGUGUCAGGCAUGCAACAGAUUCUCAAUGGUAUUGGGAACUUCUCAACCAACUCGGAGAGGAACGUGAGCGGUGCAUUCUAUUUUGCAGAUGGCAAGGCAGUUGUCGUCACAGGAAGAAAGAAGGGUAUUUUAUUUGUCAGGAUUAGGGAUAUCAAUUACCUGCUUGAAGAGAUAUAUACAACACCGAAGUUGAAUUGUUUGUUGAGUUGAUUGCUGUAACUUGGUGAAAUUACUAGUUUCUAAUGGUAAAGAGCAUGAAUAUUGACAAUUAUCUAAGUAUGUUCCAGGCUGCUCCUCGAAGAAUACUUGAAUGGUAAAUAGGAUAGUCAAAUUCUGGAAGAUUCCAUGGAUGCAACUUAUUGCUAAUGCACCGAGUCAGCUUCUGUAUAUAUGCCGGUUCAUAAUACUGCCAGUAACCUCGAUAGGGUUUCACGCGUAAUCGGAAGGCCAAAAGGGAGUCACAUGAGGCAGUUACCCAGGUCCAGUCCAGGCCCUGACGGUGGAGGUUUAAAAUGCGAGGAUCAUGGAAUUUGGUGUGUUAGUUUCUGAUUUGGGGAUCGAACGAAGAGAGAGCUCGCGUGAAGAGAAGGAGUAGAACCCUAGCUGCAGUAACUAAUGAGACUGGUUUCCUCCUUUCUUACUUCUUCCAUUCCAAGUAAUCAGCAUAUAUAGCUUCGGGUUUAACUGAGGAAGAUAAACAGUGAAAGUGAUAAACAGAGUUAACUGAAAGUAAUGUGACGGCACUCUUGUAUGUGGACCGUCCGUUGCCACUCUUAUGGUUUGAUAUCGUCCAUCCGUUAACUGAAGAGGUGUCGUUCUGGAAUCGACACUACUGGGUUCAGUCUGGGUCCUGACACUACCACCCGCCUGAGAAACGACUUGCUCUCAAGGCGUAAAAUCUGGAUACGUCGUCUGAAGAAACGGGACAUCUUCCCAGGUAGCAUCAGUAGGUGCUAAGUUCUCCCAGUGAAUCAACCAUUGCGCAAAAGGAACUUUGUUGCGCUAAUAAUGUGCCUGUCCAGCACUGCAAAAGGUGUUGUUUUCAAUAGCCCAUCUUCUUGUUGGCAUUGGAACGUGAGGCAGAGGAACUGCAAACUUGCCCAUAUGUUUCUUGAGGUGGCUAGUACUCCCUCCAUUCCAUAAUGUAGUGCGCCCACGCUUUUCGAGAUUUAACUUCGACCAUAAAUUUAACCGACAUGGGCGAGUGCGGGGGGAGCAUGACAAAUACCUUUGAAUUCGUAUUCAAAAGAAGUUUUCAAAGGUAUAAUUUUCAGUAAAAUGAUUUAUGUAUCAUCGGUCUAGUUUAUGGUCAAAGUUGAAUCUUGAAAAGCUUGGGUGCACUACAUUAUGAAAUGGAGGGAGUAUUAAACACUGGAUGAAUUUGAGCAGUGUCUGGGAGUUGAAGUUUGUAAGAAACAGCACCCACUUUGGCUAACACCUUGUAAGGACCACGGCCCCUAGGCCAAAAGCAUUCUGCUUGUAUGGCUGUACCUUAAUGCACAGCAUGUCUCCAACCUUCAGGUGCCUUUCAGUGCGUUUCAGAUCAGCAAAAUGUCUCGUAUGAUUUUUGAGCAUGCAACAGGUCAUCCUUGAGCUUCUGUCUCAUCUUUGUCAAGCAUAUCAGCUUGGGCUCCAAGGCAGUAUACUUCUGGGUUAGUGUCAGUUCAUCGAUUUGGUGAGGAUGAUAUGCAUACGGAGCUUCAAAUGGUGUGACUUUCAAGGAUGUAUCGUAGGUGGUGUUAUGCCACUAUUCGGCCAUGGAAAGGCAGUUCAUCUAGUCCUUAGGAUGUUGAAAUACCAUGGAUCUGAGAGAAUGCUCUAGACUGAUUCAUACGUUCACUUUGCUCAUCUGUUUCGGGGUGAUGGGCAGUACUGAAUUUGAGUUUCACUUUAAAGCUGGAUAAGAUAUCCUGAUAUGAUUUGUUGCUGAAUAUUCUGUCCAUGUCAUAUAUAAUCAUAGCAGUACA